UUACCGAGUUUACAACUCCCAAACCCAAUGUGAACCAUACCAAACUGUUGCCUCGGCGGGGUCACGCCCCGGGUGCGUCGCAGCCCCGGAACCAGGCGCCCGCCGGAGGGACCAACCAAACUCUUUCUGUAGUCCCCUCGCGGACGUUAUUUCUUACAGCUCUGAGCAAAAAUUCAAAAUGAAUCAAAACUUUCAACAACGGAUCUCUUGGUUCUGGCAUCGAUGAAGAACGCAGCGAAAUGCGAUAAGUAAUGUGAAUUGCAGAAUUCAGUGAAUCAUCGAAUCUUUGAACGCACAUUGCGCCCGCCAGUAUUCUGGCGGGCAUGCCUGUCCGAGCGUCAUUUCAACCCUCGAACCCCUCCGGGGGGUCGGCGUUGGGGAUCGGGAACCCCUAAGACGGGAUCCCGGCCCCGAAAUACAGUGGCGGUCUCGCCGCAGCCUCUCCUGCGCAGUAGUUUGCACAACUCGCACCGGGAGCGCGGCGCGUCCACGUCCGUAAAACACCCAACUUCUGAAAUGUUGACCUCGGAUCAGGUAGGAAUACCCGCUGAACUUAAGCAUAUCAAUAAGCGGAGGA
rnacentral:rRNA from 1 species